rnacentral:tRNA from 1 species
GGGCUUGUAAUUCAGAGGAUUAGAGUAUGUGGCUACGAACCACGGUGUCGGGGGUUCGAAUCCCUCCUUGCCCA